UUUUUUUUUUUUCUUUUCUUGAGAUGGAGUCUCACUCCAUUGCCCAGGCUGGAGUGCAGUGGUGCAAUCUCGGCUCACUGCAAGCCUCGCCUCCUGGGUUCUCCUGCCUCAUCCUCCUGAGUAGCUGGGACUACAGCCUGGCUAAUUUUUUUUUUUUUUUUUUUUUUUGUAUUUUUAGUAGAGACAGGGUUUCACCCUGUUAACCAGGAGGGUCGCAAUCUCCUGACCUCAUGAUCUGCCUGCCUUGGCCUCCCAAAGUGCUGGGAUUACAGGCGUGAGCCACCACGCCUGGCCCAACAUCUCUUAUUAAGGGUAUUCUACAGCCCUCCCUUUAAGGAAUGCUUCCAGGCUGUCACUGCCAGCAUCCAGAAAAGGACCUGACUAAUGCUUCCUUUCAGAAAAGCACUGUAAAGCAUGAUUGGCUGUAUCCUCCAGCAGACAAAGUGGAUGUGGCAACCCCAGACCUUCCAACCUUUCAGCUGCAAGUUCAACAGGAAUAAAGACUACUUCCUAGUGGUUUCUCCCAAAGCCCUCAGAUUAGCGAUUUGCCUAGCUUGUCACAUGCCAUCCCAGAACCAAUCCCUACAACCACAGAAAUGUAGUGUAUUAAUUGGUUUAGCCCUAGGUCACAUGACCCACCCGUGGAAAAGGGCUCAAUCCUCACUCAAACUACUUUGGCUGAAGGCUUGGAAGAGAUGGAGCCAGGGAAAGUAGACACUGGGGAGGCAAAAAUAAAGGUUCAAUAAGUAUGCCUUUACAGAUGGACCACAUAUUGAAUAUUAAAAACCAGCAUAUUCUGAAAAGAAGAAAUAUAAGCAAAAGAAAAAAAAGUGGGAAAUAUGAGGUAGUAUUUAGAAUUAGUAAGCUAUCCAACUAAGGUCAAGUGCAAGAAUAUUUUAAGAGUUACUUAAAUAUAUAGAGAUAGUCAGGCAUGGUAGCUGUGCCUGUAAUCCCAGCUGCUUUGGAAGCCAAGGUGGGAGGAAUGUCUUAAGCCCAGGAGUUCAAGGCUGCAGUGAGCUAUGAUUUCAAACCUGCACUCCAGCCUGUGAAGUAGAGGAGACCCCAUCUCUAAGAAAAAGAAAAAUAAAUAAAUAUAUAAAAUUACUUCCCUGUUA